ACACCCGCAGCUCGAGUGGUGGUCACUUUUAUUGAGCCUAAAGCGUUUGUAGCCGGAUCUGUAAAUCUCCAGGCAAAUUCCUUCGCUUAACGAAGGAUCUUCUGGAGAGACUGCAGAUCUAGGGACCGGGUGAGGUUGAAUGUACUUCCGGGGUAGGGGCUAAAUCCUGUAAUCCUGGAAGGACGACCGGUGGCGAAGGCGUUCAACUAGAACGGAUCCGACGGUGAGGAACGAGGGCUGGGGGAGCAAACCGGAUUAGAUACCCGGGUAGUCCUAGCUGUAAACACUGCCCACUUGAUGUUGCAUCUCCGAAGAGGGGGUGCAGUGUCGUAGCGAAGGUGUUAAGUGGGCCGCUUGGGGAGUAUGGUCGCAAGACUGAAACUUAAAGGAAUUGGCGGGGGAGCACCACAACGGGAGGAGCGUGCGGUUUAAUUGGAUUCAACGCCGGAAAGCUCACCAGGAGCGACCUUUGUAUGAGAGUCAGUUUGACGGGCUUACUCGAUAGAAGGAGAGGUGGUGCAUGGCCGUCGUCAGCUCGUACCGUAGGGCGUUCACUUAAGUGUGAUAACGAGCGAGACCCCCAUCUUUAAUUGCCAUCAUGUUCGAGAGAAUGUGGGCACUUUAGAGGGACCGCCAUCGCAGAGAUGGAGGAAGGAGGGGUCGACGGCAGGUCAGUACGCCCCGAAUCUCCUGGGCAACACGCGCGCUACAAAGGACAAGACAAUGGGCUGCGACCUCGAAAGGGGAAGCCAAUCUCGAAACUUGUUCGUAGUUAGGAUUGAGGGCUGUAACUCGCCCUCAUGAAUCUGGAUUCCGUAGUAAUCGCGGGUCAACAUCCCGCGGUGAAUAUGUCCCUGCUCCU
rnacentral:rRNA from 1 species